CUAACACAAGGACAACGAAUAACCCGAUAAUGUGUCCACAUAUCAAGUGUCUUAGCAUGUUCAACAAAUCUUUUGACACCUUCAACGAAUUCCUCCCUAAUACCCAUUCUAUUAUCAUUUUUCGUUGAUAUAUUCAGCUAUAAUCAGGUUUUAUCUACGCAAUCAAUCAGAUUCAACUAAUUAGAUCAAUUCACAAAAAUUUAACCAUUUUCAAGUAACUAAGUCAUCUACCAAGCCACAUUCAAAACAAAAAAAUCCCCUUUAAAGCCCCCACACUUAACUAUUUUCAACCAACUAAGUAUCAAAACAAAACCACAUUCAAAACACAAAAUUCCCUUCAAAGUCCCUAGACUUAACCAUUUUCAACCAAAUAAAUCACCUACCAAACCACAUUCAAAACAAAAAAAUCCUCUUUCAAGUCCCUAAACUUAAACAUUUUGAAGCAACUAAGUCACCAACCAAACAACGUUCAAAAUAAAAAAUCUCCUUUAAAGUCCCUAAACUUAACCGUUUUCAAGCAACUAAGUCACCUACCAAACCAAUUCAAAAACAAAAAAAACCCUUUAAAGUCCCUACACUCAACUAUUUUCAACCAACUAAGUGUCAAAACAAAACCAUAUUCAAAAUUAAAAAAUCCCCUUUUAAGUUCCUAAACUUAGCCAUAUUCAAGUGACUAAGUCACCUACCAAACCACAUUCAAAAUAAAAAAUCCCCUUUAAAAUCUCUACAUUUAACCAUUUUCAAUCAACUAAGUAUCAAAACAAAACCACAUUCAAAACACAAAAUCUCCUUCAAAGUCCCUAGACUUAACCAUUUUUAACCAACUAAGUCACCUACCAAACCACAUUCAAAACAAAAAAAUUCCCUUUAAAGUUCUCAAACUUAACCAUAUUCAAGUGACUAAGUCACCUAACAAACCACAUUCAAAAUAAAAAAAUCUCCUUUAAAUUCUCUACACUUAACCAUUUUCAAUCAACUAAGUAUCAAAACAAAACCACAUUCAAAACACAAAAUCCCCUUCAAAGUCCCUAGACUUAACCAUUUUUAACCAACUAAGUCACCUACCAAACCACAUUCAAAAUUAAAAAAUCCUCUUUAAAGUCCCUAAACUUAACCAUUUUAAAGCAACUAAGUCACUUAUCAAACUACAUUCAAAAUAAAAAAAUCCCCUUUAAAGUCUCUAAACUUAACCAUUUUCAAGCAACUAAGUUACCUACCAAACCACAUUCAAAAUAAAAAAAUCCCCUUUGAAGUCCCUACACUUAACCAUUUUCAAGAACUAAGUAUCAAAACAAAACCACAUUCAAAAUAAAAAAAAUCUCUUUUAAAGUUCCUAAACUUAAUCAUAUUCAAGUGACUAAGUCACCUACCAAACCAUAUUCAAAACAAAAAAAUCUCCUUUAAAGUCCCUACACUUAACCAUUUUCAACCAACUAAGUAUCAAAGCAAAACCACA
rnacentral:lncRNA from 1 species